CCUACGGGGGGCAGCAGUGGGGAAUAUUGGACAAUGGGGGCAACCCUGAUCCAGCCAUGCCGCGUGUGUGAAGAAGGCCCUCGGGUUGUAAAGCACUUUCAGUGAGGAAGAACGCCUGGUGGUUAAUACCCAUCAGGAAAGACAUCACUCACAGAAGAAGCACCGGCUAACUCCGUGCCAGCAGCCGCGGUAAUACGGAGGGUGCGAGCGUUAAUCGGAAUUACUGGGCGUAAAGCGCGCGUAGGUGGCUUGAUAAGCCGGUUGUGAAAGCCCCGGGCUCAACCUGGGAACGGCAUCCGGAACUGUCAAGCUAGAGUGCAGGAGAGGAAGGUAGAAUUCCCGGUGUAGCGGUGAAAUGCGUAGAGAUCGGGAGGAAUACCAGUGGCGAAGGCGGCCUUCUGGACUGACACUGACACCGAGGUGCGAAAGCGUGGGUAGCAAAGAGGAUUAGAUACCCUAGUAGUC
rnacentral:rRNA from 1 species